CAGGGAUCAUUGUCCCUAAACAUGAAGAAGCCAGAUUUAGCCUUCUGUGGUUUGGCAGAACCUCACUCAGAGCCUUACUCACUCAGAUCUUUCUAGUUUAACAACAAACAUGGUGUUUUCUAUGCUAAGAAGUUUGUCUUCAUGGCCUGAGAUUAAACCAGAUGAAAAAGAUUCUGAAUUUUAAAAAAAUCAAAGGUGUCUUUUUAAUUUUAAAAUAUCAAAGCCCAAAGAGGUCAGCAGAUUUUGGAAGUUUGGAUCCUUACAAGAAAAGCCGGUGCUCCUUUUUGUUUCUGUCUUGGAAAGAAGCUGUUGAAAGAACUGCUGUGACCUAAACCAGAGGUAUAAGCCAUGCUUUCCACAGAAAGCCAGGAACGUUUGCUUAAUGUAUGGUGCUGAACUCCACCUUCAGAAGAAAUCUUCUUUCUUUUUAUUCAACUGUCAUUAGUUUGACUAGAGGGAAAAAAAAAUGUGCCCAGCAUUUUUGAAGAUAAUCUUGGUGCUUUCUGGUAUAUUUGCAGAGAUAUGAACAAUUGAAAUGCAGA
rnacentral:lncRNA from 1 species